rnacentral:tRNA from 1 species
CCUUGGGUGGCUCAGUCGGUUAAGCAUCUGACUUUGGCUCAGGUCAUGAGCUUGGGGUUUGUGGGUUCGAGCCCCACAUCGGGGC